AUGGGAAUUUUGGGGGAAAAAAAUAGGAAUUUUCUGGGAAAAAUGGGAAUUUUCUGGGAAAAAUGGGAAAUUUGGUGGGAAAAUGGGAAAUUUGGGGGGGAAAAUGGGAAUUUUGGGGGGAAAAAUGGGAAUUGGGGGGGGAAGGGAAUUUGGGGGGGGGGAAAUGGGAAAUUUGGGGGGAAAAAUGGGAAAUUUGGGGGGGAAUUUUGGGGGAAAAAAUGGGAAUUUUUGGGGGAAAUGGGAAUUUUCUGGGAAAACCGGGAAAUCUGGGGGGAAAUGGGAAUUUUGGGGGGAAAAUGGGAAAUUUGGGAGAGGAGAGAAGGGAAUGAAGGGGGAAAGGGGGGAAAAUGGGGAAUAAAGGAGGGAAAAGGGGAAAAAGGGGGAAAAGGAGGAAGAAAAGGGGGAAAGGAGGGGAAAGGUGGGAAAAAAGUGGAAUUUCAGGGAAAAGGGGGAAAAUGGGAGGAAAAAUGGGGAAAAUGGGGAAAAUCGAGGGAAAAUCGAGGUGAAAAAGAGGAGAAAGGGGGGAGGGGAAAAAAGGGGGAAAUUCGGGAAAGGGGAGGAAAAAAUGGGGGAAAAGAGGAAAAUUUGGGGGAAAAGGGAAAAAAUGGAGAAAAAAUUGAGGAGGAAAAGGGGGGGAAGGGGGGAAAUAGGGAAAUUUGGGGGAAAAAGGAGGAAAAAAGUGAAAAAAUGGAAAAAUUGAGGAGGAAAAGGAGAGAAAAGGGGGGGGAAGGGGGAAAAUUUGGGGAAAAAGGGGGAAAUUUGAGGGAAAAUGGAGGAAAAAUUGAGGAGGAGAAGGGGGAAAAGGAGGAAAUUCAGGUAAAAAAGGGGGAAAUUUGGGGGAAAGGGGGAAAAAAUGGGGGAAAGGGGGGAAAUGGGGAAAAAGGGGGGGAAGGGAGAAAUGGAGGAAAAAUUGAGGAGGAAAAGGGGGAAAAGGGAGGAAAUUCAGGUAAAAAAGGGGGAAAUUUGGGGGAAAGGGGGAAAAAUGGGGGGAAGGGGGGAAAUUUGGGGAAAAAGGGGGAAAAGGGGAGAAAUGGAGGAAAAAUUGAGGAGGAAAAGGGGGAAAAGGGAGGAAAUUCAGGUAAAAAAGGGGAAAUUUGGGGAAAAAGGGGGAAAAAUGGGGGAAUUUGGGGAAAAAGGGGGAAAAAUGGAGAAAUUUGGGGAAAAGGGGGGAAAUUUGGGGGAAAAGGGGGGAAAAAGAAAAAAAGAAGGAGGGGAAAGGGAAAAGCGGGAAUUCCGGGAGUGGGGGAGGGGAAAGGGGGGGGGAGGGGAGGAGGGAGCCGGGAAAGGGGGAGGGGAGGGACGGGAACGGGAAUUCCGGGAGCCAGGGAAGCGCCGGAACCGGCGAAUUCCCGAUGGGAAAGGGCCAAAAUUCCAACCGGGAAGCGCCGAAAUUCCCCUCGGGAUCUUCCCGGAGCUCCAAAAAUCCCCUCGGGAGCCUCAAAAUUCCCUGGGGAAGCCCCAAAUUCCCUCCGGGAGCCCAAAAUUCCCUCGGAAAGCCCCAAAAUUCCCUGGGGAAGCCCAAAAUUCCCUUGGAAAGCCCCAAAAUUCCUUUGGGAUCCUUCAAAAAUGCCCUCGGGAUGCCCCAAAUUCCCUCCGGGAAACCCCAAAAUUCCCUCGGGGUCGCCAAAAUUCCCCAGAACUGCCCAAAAUUCCUUCGGAAAAGCCCGAAAUUCCCUCUGGGAACCCCCCCGAUCCCCUCAGGAUCGCCCGAAAUUCCCUGGGGAUCCCCCAGAAUUCCACCUGGGAACCCCAGAUUCCCUCGGGAUCCCCCAAAUCCCCUCGGGAUCCCCCAAAUCCCCUCGGAAAACCCCGAAAUUCCCUCCGGGAGCCCCGAAAUUCCUUCGGAAAACCCCGAAAUUCCCUCUGGGAGCCCCAAAAUUCCCUCGGAAAACCCCGAAAUUCCCUCUGGGAGCCCCAAAAUUCCCUCGGAAUCCCUCCAACCUCCCCUUGAAGCCCCGAAAUCCCCUCUGGGAGCCCCGAAAUUCCCUCGGGAUCUCCCAAAUCCCCUCAGGAUCCCCCGAAAUUCCCUCGGGAUCCCCGAAAUUCCCUCGGAAAACCCCGAAAUUCCCUCCGGGAACCCCCAGAUUCCCUCGGGAUCUCCCAAAUCCCUUCAGGAUCCCCCGAAAUUCCCUCGGAAAACCCCGAAAUUCCCUCGGGAUCCCCCAAAAUUCCCGCCGAGAAGCCCCGAAGUCGCCGUGGAAAAGCGGGAAUUCCCUCCGGAUCCUUCCGAAUUCCCUCUGGGAUCUCCCCCCUCCCCACCCCCCCCCGGAAUUCCCGAUCUCCCGGAAUUCCCGAUCCCGGAAUUCCUACCGGGCGCGUCGGGUCCUGUCCCCGCUCCCGGGAUUGCUCGGGAAGGAGGAAGCGGCUCCAACGCCUUCGCCUUUAAUCCCAAAAAACCCUUCCGGCUCCUGCCGGGGGUGGGAGCCGGGAAUUCCCGGGAGCCGGCGCGGAAAAGUGGGAAUGGGAGGCGGAAAUGGAGAGGGGGAGGUGGGAAAGGGGGAGGGAGGCCAAAAAAUGGGAGAGAGGCUAAAAAGUGGGGGAAAUCCUAAAAAAAAAAAUGGGGGAGAUCCGAUAAAAAAUGGGGGAAAUCCUAAAAAAAAUGGGGGAAAUCCUAACAAAAUGGGGGAAAUCCGAUAA
ensembl:lncRNA